rnacentral:rRNA from 1 species
UCGCGAAAACUUCACAAUGGGGGCAACCCCGAUGAGGGAAUUCCUAGUGCUAGCACAUUUGUGUUAGCUUUUCUUUAGCUUAGAAAACUAGAGGAAUAAGGGCUGGGUAAGACGGGUGCCAGCCGCCGCGGUAAUACCUGCAGCCCAAGUGGUGGUCGAUUUUAUUGAGUCUAAAACGUUCGUAGCCGGUUCGGUAAAUCUUUGGGUAAAUCGGGGGGCUUAACCUUCCGACUUCCGAGGAGACUGCCGAACUUGGGACCGGGAGAGGCUAGAGGUACUUCUGGGGUAGGGGUAAAAUCCUGUAAUCCUAGAAGGACCACCGGUGGCGAAGGCGUCUAGCUAGAACGGAUCCGACGGUGAGGGACGAAGCCCUGGGUCGCAAACGGGGUUAGAUACCCCGGUAGUCCAGGGUGUAAACGCUGCAGACUUGGUGUUGGAGGCCCUUUGGGGGCAUUCAGUGCCGGAGAGAAGUUGUUAAGUCUGCUACUUGGGGAGUACGUCCGCAAGGAUGAAACUUAAAGGAAUUGGCGGGGGAGCACCGCAACGGGAGGAGCGUGCGGUUUAAUUGGAUUCAACACCGUAAAACUCACCAGGGAAGACUGUUACAUGAAGGCCGGGCUAAAGACUCUGCCAGAUUUUCA